rnacentral:rRNA from 1 species
CCUACGGGGGGCAGCAGUGGGGAAUAUUGCACAAUGGGGGAAACCCUGAUGCAGCAACGCCGCGUGAGUGAAGAAGUAUUUCGGUAUGUAAAGCUCUAUCAGUAGGGAAGAAGAAAGACGGUACCUGACUAAGAAGCCCCGGCUAACUACGUGCCAGCAGCCGCGGUAAUACGUAGGGGGCAAGCGUUAUCCGGAUUUACUGGGUGUAAAGGGAGCGUAGACGGCUGUGCAAGUCUGAAGUGAAAGCCCGUGGCUCAACCGCGGAACUGCUUUGGAAACUGUGAAGCGGGAGUGCGGGAGGGGCAGGCGGAAUUCCUGGUGUAGCGGUGAAAUGCGUAGAUAUCAGGAGGAACACCGGCGGCGAAGGCGGCCUGCUGGACCGUAACUGACGUUGAGGCUCGAAAGCGUGGGGAGCAAACAGGAUUAGAUACCCUUGUAGUC